GGGGGGGGGGGGGGGGGGGGGGGGGGGGGGGGGGGGGGGGGGGGGGGGGGGGGGGGGGGCGGGGGCGGGGGGCGGCGGGCGGGGGGGUGGCGCGGGGGCGAGCUGCCUGUGAGGCUGGGGUAACUCCGGGGGGGCGGGGGUAAUGCCGGGUGACUCUGUCCCUCACAUGAGGGACAGCUUGAAGGUGGCCGCUCGCUAUCACUUACCGUUGGGCCCGCGGCGCCUUAGCUAGUUGGUGAGGUAACGGCUAACCAAGGCGACGAUGCGUAGCCGCACUGAGAGGGUGAUCGGCCACACUGGGACUGAGACACGGCCCAGACUCCUACGGGAGGCAGCAGUAGGGAAGCUUCCGCAAUGGACGAAAGUCUGACGGAGCAACGCCGCGUGAGUGAUGAAGGUUUUCGGAUCGUAAAACUCUGUUGUCAGGGAAGAACAAGUACCGGAGUAACUGCCGGUACCUUGACGGUACCUGACCAGAAAGCCACGGCUAACUACGUG
rnacentral:rRNA from 1 species